CACGUAGUUAGCCGGCGCUUCUUCUGCAGGUACCGUCACUUACGCUUCUUCCCUACUGAAAGAGGUUUACAACCCGAAGGCCGUCAUCCCUCACGCGGCGUCGCUGCAUCAGGCUUGCGCCCAUUGUGCAAUAUUCCCCA
rnacentral:rRNA from 1 species